UACGUAGGGUGCGAGCGUUGUCCGGAAUUAUUGGGCGUAAAGGGCUCGUAGGCGGUCUGUUGCGUCAGGAGUGAAAACUCGGGGCUUAACCCCCGAGCCUGCUUCUGAUACGGGCAGAUUAGAGGUAUGCAGGGGAGAACGGAAUUCCUGGUGUAGCGGUGAAAUGCGUAGAUAUCUGGAGGAACACCGGUGGCGAAGGCGGCAUCCUGGACCGGUAUUGACGCUGAGGCGCGAAAGCCAGGGGAGCAAACGGG
rnacentral:rRNA from 1 species